UGGGGGCGAAGCUCCAUUGGUCAAAAGGGAUACAGCCCAGAUCGUCGUCUAAGGUCCCCAAGAUUUAGUUAAGUGGCAAAGGUGGUAUUAGGACUCAUACAACUAGGAGGUUGGCUUAGAAGCAGCCAUCCUUUAAAGAAAGCGUAAUAGCUCACUAGUCCAGUCCUUUUGUGCCGAAAAUUCAACGGGGCUAAACUAAACACCGAAGACACGAAUUCCACGCUUGCGUGGAGUGGUAGAGGAGCGUUCCAGUGGCGCUGAAGCUGACUUGCGAGAGUUGGUGGAGCAGCUGGAAGUGAGAAUGUUGGCAUAAGUAGCAAAAAGACAGGUGAAAACCCUGUCCGCCGAAAAUUCAAGGUUUCCUGGGCAACGACAUUCGUCCCAGGGUUAGGCGAUCCUAAGCCGAGGCCGAAAGGCGUAGGCGAUGGAUAACAGGUGAAUAUUCCUGUACUACCCUGUUGUUGUCUGAGUGAUGGGGGGACGCAGAAGUGAAAGGUCAGCCCGGUUUUGAUUGUCCGGGUUUAAGUGAGUAGGGGGUUCUGGUAGGCAAAUCCGCCGGAACUUAACCCCGAGACACGAAUAGGAGGGCCUAGCCCAUAAACUGACCCUAAUCAUGCU
rnacentral:rRNA from 1 species